rnacentral:lncRNA from 1 species
CUUAGUCGAUUCAGCAGAAUGCUAUGCUAUUCAAAUUAGUAUAUAAAAACACCAUAUCACAUAUAUUCAGGAGCUUAAACCAGCACUCAAAUGAUUAUGAAAUUGCAAAUAACAACUCUCAUAUCAGAAUCUUGAGCAUUAUACUUAUAUGGAAACUUCCUGACAGUAUAUUUAAGGCAGGGAAAUAUGGGAAACAACAUGCAUAGUUCUAAGUUAUUGCAGAAGUAUCAUUGAAAGUAGAAGAAGACAAAACACUAAAAACUCAAAAUAACUUCAGAUUCAAUCAAGUUUCCACUACAUCAUGCAUUCGUACAUUCAUUUGCCAUCCAUAGCUUGUAGGAAUACCUUGAAAAUGAAAGGAAACAAGGACAAGUGAGGAUUCAGUAAGCACAACAACAAUAGAUCAACAACCAGAUUUCAAUAGAAUAGUAAACCAGAAAGCCAAACAGCUUUAAAUUAAGCUCUUAAAUACCAAGAAUCAAACCAUUUUAACCCAGAAUGCAGAACUAUGAAUUUUUCAGUAAUUUUCAAGGAAUUCUAACUAAUGAAAGGAUUAGAAAUUUCAAACUUACUCAGAAUUGAGCAAUUCCCAGGCUUUUUAGUUUUCAAGUUUUUUUUAAUCUCUUCCUUUCUCUUUAAAAUCUGACUUGAAUGUUAAGUUAUGACGGCUUUAUAGGCAAG